CAAAGCCGCUGGACCCCCCCAGCAGACCAGGGACACCAGAGCAAAGCCGCCGCCUGGGCGGCUUUGCUCGUUUGCCCGGGAGCAAAGCCGCCCAGGUGUCCCUGGUCUGCUGGGGGGGUCCAGCGGCUUUG
rnacentral:pre_miRNA from 1 species